AAUCUUUUGAUAAUAUUGCCCAAUGCAACAAAUGGAAAAAGCAUGCUUUAUGACAACCUCAGCAGCAGAACCCAUGACUUUCUCCUGGGUAGACGAGACAAAAAAGUUUGGUAUCAACACCCAUCUAACAAUUAAGAAAGUUAUCUGCAGCCACACAUCCACUGUAUACCAAGUUAUGAUGAACAAUUAUGAAAAUGCAAAAGGAUUGAUAGAUCAGUAAACAAGCAACAAAAAGCUUUACAAAAAAUGUAGAAUUUGUAGGAGCGCAUGGACAUCUGAGUAACAAAGUCAUAUUAUGCAGAUGGGUGCUCAUGGUUGCCUCCAAAUAAAUACAUGGACAGGCUGCUAAAGAGGGUCAGGAUGAUGGAGAUGCAAGAGCCAAAGACAGCACAGACCAAACACCAGGCCAGAAUUCUGCAUGAGUCAGAUUGAGUAAUUUUCACUCUAGAGACCCUUGGGUGACCACCAAGGACGAAUGCAAACUCCAGUGAGUGUCUCUAAGGUAGAUCCUAAUGCAGAUGGAUGGAAUGUUGAUCCGCCUAACA